UACGUAGGGGGCUAGCGUUGUCCGGAAUCAUUGGGCGUAAAGAGCGUGUAGGCGGCCCGGUAAGUCCGCUGUAAAAGUCAAAGGCUCAACCUUUGAAUGUCAGUGGAUACUGCCGGGCUAGAGUCCGGAAGAGGCGAGUGGAACUCCUGGUGUAGCGGUGGAAUGCGCAGAUAUCAGGAAGAACACCAACGGCGAAGGCAGCUCGCUGGGACGGUACUUACGCUGAGACGCGAAAGCGUGGGGAGCGAACAGG
rnacentral:rRNA from 1 species